UACAGAGGGUGCAAGCGUUAAUCGGAAUUACUGGGCGUAAAGCGUGCGUAGACGGUAGCGUAAGUCGGGUUUGAAAGCCCCGGGCUCAACCUGGGAAUUGCAUUCGAGACUGCUCUGCUAGGGUGCGGAAGAGGGAAGCGGAAUUUCCGGUGUAGCGGUGAAAUGCGUAGAUAUCGGAAGGAACACCAGUGGCGAAAGCGGCUUCCUGGUCCAGCACCGACGUUCAGGCACGAAAGCGUGGGGAGCAAACAGG
rnacentral:rRNA from 1 species